rnacentral:rRNA from 1 species
AAAUUGAAGAGUUUGAUCAUGGCUCAGAUUGAACGCUGGCGGCAGGCCUAACACAUGCAAGUCGAACGGUAACAGGAAACAGCUUGCUGUUUCGCUGACGAGUGGCGGACGGGUGAGUAAUGUCUGGGAAACUGCCUGAUGGAGGGGGAUAACUACUGGAAACGGUAGCUAAUACCGCAUAACGUCGCAAGACCAAAGAGGGGGACCUUCGGGCCUCUUGCCAUCGGAUGUGCCCAGAUGGGAUUAGCUAGUAGGUGGGGUAACGGCUCACCUAGGCGACGAUCCCUAGCUGGUCUGAGAGGAUGACCAGCCACACUGGAACUGAGACACGGUCCAGACUCCUACGGGAGGCAGCAGUGGGGAAUAUUGCACAAUGGGCGCAAGCCUGAUGCAGCCAUGCCGCGUGUAUGAAGAAGGCCUUCGGGUUGUAAAGUACUUUCAGCGGGGAGGAAGGGAGUAAAGUUAAUACCUUUGCUCAUUGACGUUACCCGCAGAAGAAGCACCGGCUAACUCCGUGCCAGCAGCCGCGGUAAUACGGAGGGUGCAAGCGUUAAUCGGAAUUACUGGCGUAAAGCGCACGCAGGCGGUUUGUUAAGUCAGAUGUGAAAUCCCCGGGCUCAAACCUGGGAACUGCAUCUGAUACUGGCAAGCUUGAGUCUCGUAGAGGGGGGUAGAAUUCCAGGUGUAGCGGUGAAAUGCGUAGAGAUCUGGAGGAAUACCGGUGGCGAAGGCGGCCCCCUGGACGAAGACUGACGCUCAGGUGCGAAAGCGUGGGGGAGCAAACAGGAUUAGAUACCCCUGGUACGUCCACGCCCGUAAACGAUGUCGACUUGGAGGUUGUGCCCUUGAGGCGUGGCUUCCGGAGCUAACGCGUUAAAGUCGACCGCCUGGGGAGUACGGCCGCAAGGUUAAAAACUCAAAUGAAUUGACGGGGGCCCGCACAAGCGGUGGAGCAUGUGGUUUAAUUCGAUGCAACGCGAAGAACCUUACCUGGUCUUGACAUCCACAGAACUUUCCAGAGAUGGAUUGGUGCCUUCGGGAACUGUGAGACAGGUGCUGCAUGGCUGUCGUCAGCUCGUGUUGUGAAAUGUUGGGUUAAGUCCCGCAACGAGCGCAACCCUUAUCCUUUGUUGCCAGCGGUCCGGCCGGGAACUCAAAGGAGACUGCCAGUGAUAAACUGGAGGAAGGUGGGGAUGACGUCAAGUCAUCAUGGCCCUUACGACCAGGGCUACACACGUGCUACAAUGGCGCAUACAAAGAGAAGCGACCUCGCGAGAGCAAGCGGACCUCAUAAAGUGCGUCGUAGUCCGGAUUGGAGUCUGCAACUCGACUCCAUGAAGUCGGAAUCGCUAGUAAUCGUGGAUCAGAAUGCCACGGUGAAUACGUUCCCGGGCCUUGUACACACCGCCCGUCACACCAUGGGAGUGGGUUGCAAAAGAAGUAGGUAGCUUAACCUUCGGGAGGGCGCUUACCACUUUGUGAUUCAUGACUGGGGUGAAGUCGUAACAAGGUAACCGUAGGGGAACCUGCGGUUGGAUCACCUCCUUA